AUACGGAGGAUGCAAGCGUUAUCCGGAUUUAUUGGGUUUAAAGGGUGCGUAGGCGGUUUGCUAAGCGGGAGGUGAAAUGCCGGCGCUCAACGUCGGAAGUGCCUCCCGAACUGGUGGACUUGAAUGACUCUGCCGUGGGAGGAAUGUGUAGUGUAGCGGUGAAAUGCUUAGAGAUUACACAGAACACCGAUUGCGAAGGCAUCUCACGAAGGGUUGAUUGACGCUGAGGCACGAAAGCGUGGGGAUCAAACAGGAUUAGAUACCCUGGUAGUCCACGCAGUAAACGAUGAUGGCUAACCGCUGGGCUUAUCAGUUCAGUGGCCAAGCGAAAGCGAUAAGCCAUCCACCUGGGGAGUACGACCGCAAGGUUGAAACUUAAAGGAAUUGGCGGGG
rnacentral:rRNA from 1 species